rnacentral:misc_RNA from 1 species
GAUGAAGAACGCAGCGAAAUGCGAUAAGUAAUGUGAAUUGCAGAAUUCAGUGAGUCAUCGAAUCUUUGAACGCACAUUGCGCCCUGUGGUAUUCCGCAGGGCAUGCCUGUUCGAGCGUCAUUUCAACCCUCAAGCCUCGCUUGGUGUUGGGCCCUGCCCGCCGCGGCCGGCCCUAAAGAUAGUGGCGGCGCCGCCUGGCCCUCAGCGUAGUACAGCUCUCGCUCCAGGGUCCGGCGGCAGCCUGCCAGAACCCCCCAACUCUGUGGUUGACCUCGGAUCAGGUAGGGAUACCCGCUGAACUUAAGCAUAUCAAUAAGCGGAGGA